rnacentral:rRNA from 1 species
CGAAAGCCUGACGGAGCAACGCCGCGUGAGGGAGGAAGGCUCUUGGGUUGUAAACCUCUUUUGUUAGGGAAGAAGCGAGUGACGGUACCUAACGAAUCAGCAUCGGCUAACUCCGUGCCAGCAGCCGCGGUAAUACGGAGGAUGCGAGCGUUAUCCGGAAUUAUUGGGCGUAAAGCGUCCGCAGGUGGUUUUUCAAGUCGGCAGUCAAAGACCGAAGCUUAACUUCGGAAAGGCAGUGGAAACUGAAAAACUAGAGAUCAGUAGGGGUAGCGGGAAUUCCCAGUGUAGCGGUGAAAUGCGUAGAGAUUGGGAAGAACAUCGGUGGCGAAAGCGCGCUACUGGGCUGAGACUGACACUGAGGGACGAAAGCUAGGGGAGCGAAAGGGAUUAGAUACCCCUGUAGUCCUAGCCGUAAACGAUGGAGACUAGGCGUAGCUUGUAUCGACCCAAGCUGUGCCGAAGCUAACGCGUUAAGUCUCCCGCCUGGGGAGUACGCACGCAAGUGUGAAACUCAAAGGAAUUGACGGGGGCCCGCACAAGCGGUGGAGUAUGUGGUUUAAUUCGAUGCAACGCGAAGAACCUUACCAGGGCUUGACAUCUGUAGAACCCCGAUGAAAGUUGGGGGUGCCUUAGGGAGCUACAAGACAGGUGGUGCAUGGCUGUCGUCAGCUCGUGUCGUGAGAUGUUGGGUUAAGUCCCGCAACGAGCGCAACCCUCGUCCUUAGUUGCCAGCAUUAAGUUGGGCACUCUAGGGAGACUGCCGGUGACAAACCGGAGGAAGGUGGGGAUGACGUCAAGUCAGCAUGCCCCUUACGCCCUGGGCGACACACGUACUACAAUGGUCGGGACAAAGGGCAGCGAACCCGCGAGGGAGUGCGAAUCUCAACAAACCCGGCCUCAGUUCAGAUUGCUCUGUGCAACUCGAGAGCAUGAAGGAGGAAUCGCUAGUAAUCGCCGGUCAGCAUACGGCGGUGAAUUCGUUCCCGGGCCUUGUACACACCGCCCGUCACACCAUGGAAGCUGGCCACGCCCGAAGUCGUUACCCUAACCGUAAAAGGAGGGGGAUGCCGAAGGCAGGGCUAGUGACUGGGGUGAAGUCGUAACAAGGUAGCCGUACCGGAAGGUGUGGCUGGAUCACCUCCUU